rnacentral:rRNA from 1 species
UACGUAGGGUGCAAGCGUUAAUCGGAAUUACUGGGCGUAAAGCGUGCGCAGGCGGUUAUGUAAGACAGGUGUGAAAUCCCCGGGCUUAACCUGGGAACUGCAUUUGUGACUGCAUAGCUAGAGUACGGUGGAGGGGAUGGAAUUCCGCGUGUAGCAGUGAAAUGCGUAGAUAUGCGGAGGAACACCGAUGGCGAAGGCAAUCCCUGGACCUGUACUGACGCUCAUGACACGGAAAGCG